UACGUAGGGGGCAAGCGUUGUCCGGAUUUAUUGGGCGUAAAGAGCGUGUAGGCGGUUUGGUAGGUCCGUUGUGAAAACUCGAGGCUCAACCUCGAGACGCCGGCGGAAACCAUCAGGCUAGAGUCCGGAAGAGGAGAGUGGAAUUCCUGGUGUAGCGGUGAAAUGCGCAGAUAUCAGGAAGAACACCCGUGGCUAAGGCGGCUCUCUAGUACGGUACUGACGCUGAGACGCGAAAGCGUGGGGAGCAAACAGG
rnacentral:rRNA from 1 species